UGAAUUUGUUAUCCAAAAUU
rnacentral:snRNA from 1 species